rnacentral:rRNA from 1 species
GUGUCAGCAGCCGCGGUAAGACGUAGGAUCCGAGCGUUGUCCGGAGUUACUGGGCGUAAAGCGAGCGCAGGCGGUCAUGUACAUCGGCGGUGAAAGCCCCCCGCUCAACGGGGGAGGGUCCGUCGAUAUGGCAUGACUGGAGGCUGGGAGAGGUCGGUGGAAUUCCGGGUGUAGUGGUGAAAUGCGUAGAGAUCCGGAGGAACACCAGUGGCGAAGGCGGCCGACUGGACCAGACCUGACGCUAAGGCUCGAAGGCGUGGGGAGCGAACGGGAUUAGAUACCCCUGUAGUCC